CGUGAGCCACCACACCGGCCAAGAGUGUACUCCUAAAGGAAGAUCCUACUACCUUUACUCUUUCAGGUGCUCCCCCAAAAAGUUCACUUUGCAAAUCUUAACACAGAGUUUGUUUCUCUGGGGAGUCAAUAUAAGACAGUUGGCAUGAAGAAUUGUUUAGGGAAGAAAACCAUAAAACAAGAUGUUGGAGGUGGAGCACUGGGGAGAGAACACAUGCUGUAGCAGUGCAGUUGCUGAAAAACACCGAUG
rnacentral:lncRNA from 1 species